rnacentral:rRNA from 1 species
ACUCCUACGGGAGGCAGCAGUGGGGAAUAUUGCACAAUGGGGAAACCCUGAUGCAGCCAUGCCGCGUGUGUGAAGAAGGCCUUCGGUUGUAAAGCACUUCAGUAGGGAGGAAGGUAGUGUAGUUAACACCUGCAUUAUUUGACGUUACCUACAGAAGAAGCACCGGCUAACUCCGUGCCAGCAGCCGCGGUAAUACGGAGGGGUGCGAGCGUUAAUCGGAAUUACUGGGCGUAAAGCGCAUGCAGGCGGCCUGUUAAGUCAGAUGUGAAAGCCCGGGGGCUUAACCUCGGAAUUGCAUUUGAAACUGGCAGGCUAGAGUCUUGUAGAGGGGGUAGAAUUUCAGGUGUAGCGGUGAAAUGCGUAGAGAUCUGAAGGAAUACCAGUGGCGAAGGCGGCCCCCUGGACAAAGCUGACGCUCAGAUGCGAAAGCGUGGGAGGCAAACAGGAUUAGAUACCCUGGUAGCA